rnacentral:rRNA from 1 species
UUCCGUAGGUGAACCUGCGGAAGGAUCAUUAUUGAAAACAAGGGUGUCCAAUUUAACUUGGAACCCAAACUUCUCAAUUCUAACUUUGUGCAUCUGUAUUAAUGGCGAGCAACUUCGGUUGUGAGCCUUCACUUACAAAACACUAGUCUAUGAAUGUAAAAUUUUUAUAACAAAUAAAAACUUUCAACAACGGAUCUCUUGGCUCUCGCAUCGAUGAAGAACGCAGCGAAAUGCGAUACGUAAUGUGAAUUGCAGAAUUCAGUGAAUCAUCGAAUCUUUGAACGCAUCUUGCGCUCUCUGGUAUUCCGGAGAGCAUGUCUGUUUGAGUGUCAUGAAUUCUUCAACCCAAUCUUUUCUUGUAAUCGAUUGGUGUUUGGAUUCUGAGCGUUGCUGGCGUUUGCCUAGCUCGUUCGUAAUACAUUAGCAUCCCUAAUACAAGUUUGGAUUGACUUGGCGUAAUAGACUAUUCGCUAAGGAUUCGGUGGAAACAUCGAGCCAACUUCAUUAAGGAAGCUCCUAAUUUAAAAGUCUACCUUUUGAUUAGAUCUCAAAUCAGGCAGGAUUACCCGCUGAACUUAAGCAUUCAA